UACGUAGGUGGCGAGCGUUGUCCGGAUUUACUGGGCGUAAAGCGCGCGCAGGCGGUUCGUUAAGUCCGGUGUGAAAGCUCCCGGCUCAACUGGGAGAGGUCAUUGGAUACUGGCGGACUUGAGGGAUGCAGAGGAAGGUGGAAUUCCCGGUGUAGUGGUGAAAUGCGUAGAGAUCAGGAAGAACACCGGUGGCGAAGGCGCUCUGCUAGGCCGCAACUGACACUGAGGGACGAAAGCUAGGGGAGCGAAUGGG
rnacentral:rRNA from 1 species